rnacentral:rRNA from 1 species
CGGCGUGCUUAACACAUGCAAGUCGAGUGGAGAUUGCAUUUAUGUAAUCUUAAGCGGCGGACGGGUGAGUAACGCGUAGGCAACCUGCCUUGCACAGAGGGAUAACACCGGGAAACUGGUGCUAAUACCACAUGAUAUCAUAACAAGGCAUCUUGAAAUGAUCAAAGGAUAAAUCCGGUGCAAGAUGGGCCUGCGUCCGAUUAGUUAGUUGGUGAGGUAACGGCUCACCAAUGCGACGAUCGGUAGCCGAACUGAGAGGUUGAUCGGCCACAUUGGGACUGAGACACGGCCCAGACUCCUACGGGAGGCAGCAGUGGGGAAUAUUGCGCAAUGGGGGGAACCCUGACGCAGCAACGCCGCGUGACGGAAGAAGGCCUUCGGGUUGUAAACUUAUUUGAUUGGGGAAGAAACAAAUGACGGUACCCAAGGAACAAGCCACGGCUAACUACGUGCCAGCAGCCGCGGUAAUACGUACGUGGCGAGCGUUGUCCGGAAUUACUGGGUGUAAAGGGCGUGUAGGCGGGAUUGUAAGUCAGAUGUGAAAUUCCAGGGCUUACCCUCUGGAGGUGCAUCUGAAACUAUAAUUCUUGAGUCCUGGAGAGGAAGGCGGAAUUCCUAGUUUAGCGGUGAAAUGCGUAGAUAUUAGGAAGAACACCAGUGGCGAAAGCGGCUUUCUGGACAGUAACUGACGCUGAGGCGCGAAAGCUUGGGGAGCAAACAGGAUUAGAUACCCUGGUAGUCCACGCUUGUAAACGAUGGAUACUAGGUGUAGGAGGUAUCGACCCCUUCUGUGCCGGAGUUAACACAAUAAGUAUCCCACCUGGGGAGUACGNCCGCAAGGCUGAAACUCAAAGGAAUUGACGGGGGCCCGCACAAGCAGUGGAGUAUGUGGUUUAAUUCGAAGCAACGCGAAGAACCUUACCAGGGCUUGACAUCCCUCGGAUAACAUAGAGAUAUGUUAGUCCUUCGGGACGAGGAGACAGGUGGUGCAUGGUUGUCGUCAGCUCGUGUCGUGAGAUGUUGGGUUAAGUCCCGCAACGAGCGCAACCCCUAUUGUUAGUCGCCAUCAUUAAGUUGGGCACUCUAACGAGACUGCCGGUGACAAAUCGGAGGAAGGUGGGGACGACGUCAAAUCAUCAUGCCCCUUAUGUCCUGGGCUACACACGUACUACAAUGGUCACUACAAAGGGAAGCAAUACCGCAAGGAGGAGCAAAUCCCCAAAGGUGACCUCAGUUCGGAUUGUGGGCUGAAACCCGCCCACAUGAAGUCGGAAUUGC